rnacentral:rRNA from 1 species
CCUACGGGAGACAGCAGUGAGGAAUAUUGGUCAAUGGACGAGAGUCUGAACCAGCCAAGUAGCGUGAAGGAUGACUGCCCUAUGGGUUGUAAACUUCUUUUAUCAAGGAAUAAAAGAGGCACGUGAGGCUUUUUGCAUGUUAUUUCUGAAUAAGGAACGGCUAACUCCGUGACAGCAGCAGCGGUAAUAAGGGGGAUCCGAGCGUUAUACGGUUUUAUUGGGUUAAAAGGGAGCGUAGAUGGGUUGUUGAGUCAGUUGUGAAAGUUUGCGGCUCAACCGUAAAAUUGCAAUUGAUACUGGCAGUCUUGAGUACAGUUGAGGUAGGCGGAAUUCGUGGUGUAGCGGUGAAAUGCUUAGAUAUCACGAAGAACCCCGAUUGCGAAGGCAGCUUACUAACCUGUGACUGACAUUGAUGCUCGAAAGUGUGGGUAUCAAACAGGAUUAGAUACCCUUGUAGUC